rnacentral:lncRNA from 1 species
ACACCUACUCCAAGGCCACACCUCCAAAUAGUGGCAAUCCCUGGGCCAAGCAUAUUCAAACCACCACAGAGAGGCACUUACAAGAUGAUUUCUUUUAAUGCUACUGUAUUUUGAUAGUGGGUCUACAUUUGAUAGUGAUUAUUUUUGCAGACAGUAUUUCUUUCAUGUGAACUGUUUAUAAGGGAGAAAUGCAGAGAGAUGGAAAGCAUAUUAGUGGUUGAUCAGUGGUUGAUAGGUGGGGGAAGGGAUGUAGCCUCAAUAGGUUGUAUGAUUUGUCUAUGUUUGUUUGUUUUUCCUCUCAAGGUUUUGGAAGCUUAGCUUUUUGCAUGGCCAUGAAACUUUUAAGGGAUAGGCUUACUAGAAAGUGAAUGGGGUCCUUUCAGGAGAUUGUGGGUAGUUCCUAUAAGAAAGAGUUGCUGGAAAAGAAGGAGCUAGAUCCCUCUGACUUGCCAGGGGAUACCCUCCCUUGCACAUGCAUCCCUGCCAUGAUGUCAUUUGUUAUGAACCCUCAAAAGAGUCAGUGCCAUGCUGUUGAAGACUUUCAGCUUCCAAACUGUAAAUAAAAAUAAAACAGACCAGCCACUGGUAAUUCGUGAGAGUUAACAGAAGGCUUUUCACUGUAACAUACAAAGCUUCUUCUUGUGAAGAAUGAAAAAAUGUUUUAAAGUUAACUACAGCUGCCCGCAUUCAACAAUACACCGAUUGCUGAUUUAUCAUAUUAGGGCUUCAGAGACAUCCACCCCAAGGAGAAAGGCCUGGGAACUUACGCGCCAGGUUCCAUGUCCAUGCCCUCUGGAACCGAAUCAAUAAUGUUCAACAGCGCUUCCAGAUGAAACUUCAUUUCAUUAAUCUUUUCAUCAAUUUCAAGCCACUCUUCAGUGGGUACUUGAGAAUAAUCAAGGAAGUUUUCUAACUUGAAAACACACAUGUCCAAAGAAAUGACCAAGUUUGGAAGAACUUUAGAGAUACCUAGGAAAAUGGGG